GAGACUGGGGCAGAACGGGAGGGAGAGGUAACCACCGGCCCCAAAGAGCACACAGAUGCUCUGUGCAGGGUCGGCUAGUAUUAAUAUAGUCUGACCAUCAGUGAAAGAGCUGUAUUGUUCUGGACCCCAAAUUGGUCCUUGAAGGAUAUAGUGGUCCCUGAGAACACAGGAGCUAUUGAUCCCUGUUCUAAGCCACUACACCAGAGAACCUUGUUUCUAUGAAAUUGUUCUUUGUGUUCAUAUUAACUCUCUUUGUGUUUAAGAUUUCAUUGCCUACAGCACCAUCUGUAGCAUUCACUAGUUCACUUUCUGUUUUUAAUCUAACUGGUUUUGACAGAAGGUGCUGCAGUCCCAAGAGAAAGCAGCUCUCAGGGCACCAGCUAAGUGUAUUCUAGCUAAACACCCCGAUUGCAAUGGAUUAGAAGAGGAAUCAGCGUUGUUAUUCAUUGUUAGCCAUGACAAGGUCCUUGCUUUACACCCAAAAAUGUUGCUUCUCAAGAGCAGGAGAAUGAGAAAAAGCCCAAGACAUUCAAGACAGAAGAUCCAAAUAGUGCUGAUUCCUUUCCCGCAGUGGUAAAAAGACAAUUAAAAUAAAUAACUGACCAUUUGCUGCCUUCUAAGUCGAACUUCAUCAAAAACUCGGUGGGCAGAAUUCAUUCACUGAGUUUUCCCCUGAGGAAUUUUUGAACAAGUUCAACUCUACACUAUCUAACUUUCUAUUUCUAGUUAUGGCAGUUUUCAAUGUUUUUGCAAAGAGUAUAAUAAAGCCCUGUUUAAAUGCUUAA